GACGAACGCUGGCGGCGUGCCUAAUACAUGCAAGUAGAACGCUGAAGAGAGGAGCUUGCUCUUCUUGGAUGAGUUGCGAACGGGUGAGUAACGCGUAGGUAACCUGCCUUGUAGCGGGGGAUAACUAUUGGAAACGAUAGCUAAUACCGCAUAACAAUGGAUGACUCAUGUCAUUUAUUUGAAAGGGGCAAAUGCUCCACUACAAGAUGGACCUGCGUUGUAUUAGCUAGUAGGUGAGGUAACGGCUCACCUAGGCGACGAUACAUAGCCGACCUGAGAGGGUGAUCGGCCACACUGGGACUGAGACACGGCCCAGACUCCUACGGGAGGCAGCAGUAGGGAAUCUUCGGCAAUGGGGGCAACCCUGACCGAGCAACGCCGCGUGAGUGAAGAAGGUUUUCGGAUCGUAAAGCUCUGUUGUAAGUCAAGAACGAGUGUGAGAGUGGAAAGUUCACACUGUGACGGUAGCUUACCAGAAAGGGACGGCUAACUACGUGCCAGCAGCCGCGGUAAUACGUAGGUCCCGAGCGUUGUCCGGAUUUAUUGGGCGUAAAGCGAGCGCAGGCGGUUUGAUAAGUCUGAAGUUAAAGGCUGUGGCUCAACCAUAGUUCGCUUUGGAAACUGUCAAACUUGAGUGCAGAAGGGGAGAGUGGAAUUCCAUGUGUAACGGUGAAAUGCGUAGAUAUAUGGAGGAACACCGGUGGCGAAAGCGGCUCUCUGGUCUGUAACUGACGCUGAGGCUCGAAAGCGUGGGGAGCGAACAGG
rnacentral:rRNA from 1 species